rnacentral:rRNA from 1 species
GACGAACGCUGGCGGCGUGCCUAAUACAUGCAAGUUGAGCGCUGAAGGUUGGUACUUGUACCAACUGGAUGAGCAGCGAACGGGUGAGUAACGCGUGGGGAAUCUGCCUUUGAGCGGGGGACAACAUUUGGAAACGAAUGCUAAUACCGCAUAAAAACUUUAAACACAAGUUUUAAGUUUGAAAGAUGCAAUUGCAUCACUCAAAGAUGAUCCCGCGUUGUAUUAGCUAGUUGGUGAGGUAAAGGCUCACCAAGGCGAUGAUACAUAGCCGACCUGAGAGGGUGAUCGGCCACAUUGGGACUGAGACACGGCCCAAACUCCUACGGGAGGCAGCAGUAGGGAAUCUUCGGCAAUGGACGAAAGUCUGACCGAGCAACGCCGCGUGAGUGAAGAAGGUUUUCGGAUCGUAAAACUCUGUUGGUAGAGAAGAACGUUGGUGAGAGUGGAAAGCUCAUCAAGUGACGGUAACUACCCAGAAAGGGACGGCUAACUACGUGCCAGCAGCCGCGGUAAUACGUAGGUCCCGAGCGUUGUCCGGAUUUAUUGGGCGUAAAGCGAGCGCAGGUGGUUUAUUAAGUCUGGUGUAAAAGGCAGUGGCUCAACCAUUGUAUGCGUUGGAAACUGGUAGACUUGAGUGCAGGAGAGGAGAGUGGAAUUC